UUCUGGCUCGGCCUCUUGCGGGGUAUGUUUCGAGGUGAGUGGACGUGUUCAUACAGGCUUUAGGAUUUUACAUGAAAUAACAUCCUUUCAAGGAAGCAGUAAAAGAUAGACCGAGAAUAUAAAACCCCUUCUUGAGUGUGCGAAUCCCAUGGCUAUCCAAAUAACUUCAAAAGAACAAAGUUUGGAGAUGGAUGAAGUGCGGAUGUUUUUAUCAGACGCCCAAAUGAGACUUCAAGGAAGCUGACACAAAUAAUACAGCGGCACAAGGAAACGUGAUUGUGUAAAGGAAAUGAGCCACUCUGUUAGGGGAUCACAAAGAUGGCUGCAGUGACCGUCCAUCUGAGACUCUUCAGAGCACCGAAGGAUUCACCUGUUUAUUCCCCUGGUCGAUUCUGAGUUGAGUCUGCAGCCCCAAGCAAAUGGUAUCUGAACUGAGGCGAUUACAUGGAGCCAGCUAUUCAACUUGGCCACCCACUGAGAAGUCUGUGUGACAGUGCCACAGCUGUAUCGUGGUGGCAGCCCCAGCUGGAAGACAUUCAGACCAGGUGCUGCUGCUUGUGAGUUGGGACUGCUACAAGCUUCGGUGAUGGUUGAGAAAGAGGCUAUGAGGAAAUGGAGCCAUUCUGAUGGUUGGACUUAUUCCCAGCACUCAUUCAUUUACAUCAAGUUUGCCACUGAAAAUAAGGCUGUUUUUAAGAAGCCUUUAAUGUAUUGUUUGUACUUUUUUUCUCCCAGCUGUAAUUAACUCUUGAAAUACCGAUGUAUUUAAGGAAAUGUCAAAUAAAUUGCCAGAAUUAAGUUA